UGCAGUUAAAAAGCUCGUAGUUGGACUUCGGAGUGGGCCAGUUGGUCCGCCGCAAGGUGUGUUACUGACUGGUUUGCUCUUCUUCGCAAAGACUGCGUGUGCUCUUGAGUGAGUGUGCGUAGGAUUUACGACGUUUACUUUGAAAAAAUUAGAGUGUUCAAAGCAGGCUAUUGCUUGAAUACAUGAGCAUGGAAUAAUGGAAUAGGACUUUGGUCCCAUUUUGUUGGUUUCUAGGGCCGAAGUAAUGAUUAAGAGGGACAAUUGGGGGCAUCCGUAUUUCGUUGUCAGAGGUGAAAUUCUUGGAUUUACGAAAGACGAACAACUGCGAAAGCACUUGCCAAGAGUGUUUUCAUUAAUCAAGAACGAAAGUUAGAGGAUCGAAGACGAUCAGAUACCGUCCUAGUUCUAACCAUAAACGAUGUCGACUAGGGAUCAGCGGGCGUUAUCGUACGACCCCGUUGGCACCUUACGGGAAACCAAAGUUUUUGGAUUCCGGGGGAAGUAUGGUUGCAAAGCUGAAACUUAAAGGAAUUGACGGAAGGGCACCACCAGGAGUGGAGCCUGUGGCUCAAUUUGACUCAACACGGGAAAACCUACCAGGUCCAGACAUAGUAAGGAUUGACCGGUUGAGAGCCCUUUCU
rnacentral:rRNA from 1 species